AAGAAAUUUUGGAGGCUUUGGUGGAUUUGUUUCUUCUGUAGGACUCGCGGCUGAUGCUUUCGUAGAAACUGAUGGCUGCAUAAAAGUGCUGGAACUUCCAAACUCGUUCUUCUCAGAUAACUUGGGCAAUGCUGAUAUUUGUGGAAAAUCUCUUCUCUUGCAGCAUGAAUGGUUUGACCUCUGUUCUGUGUUUCCAUCAGCAAUGGCAUUUUGACCCACAUGAGGAAAUUGUUGUCUCAUGCUAAAACAAUGAGGAUGAUCAAAUGCUGGCAUACAAUGAUUC
rnacentral:lncRNA from 1 species